rnacentral:rRNA from 1 species
ACCAGCCAAGUAGCGUGCAGGAUGACGGCCCUAUGGGUUGUAAACUGCUUUUAUACAGGAAUAAAGUUAGCCACGUGUGGUUAUUUGUAUGUACUGUAUGAAUAAGGACCGGCUAAUUCCGUGCCAGCAGCCGCGGUAAUA